AGAGUUUGAUCCUGGCUCAGGACGAACGCUGGCGGCGUGCCUAAUACAUGCAAGUAGAACGCUGAAGAGAGGAGCUUGCUCUUCUUGGAUGAGUUGCGAACGGGUGAGUAACGCGUAGGUAACCUGCCUUGUAGCGGGGGAUAACUAUUGGAAACGAUAGCUAAUACCGCAUAACAAUGGAUGACACAUGUCAUUUAUUUGAAAGGGGCAAUUGCUCCACUACAAGAUGGACCUGCGUUGUAUUAGCUAGUAGGUGAGGUAAUGGCUCACCUAGGCGACGAUACAUAGCCGACCUGAGAGGGUGAUCGGCCACACUGGGACUGAGACACGGCCCAGACUCCUACGGGAGGCAGCAGUAGGGAAUCUUCGGCAAUGGGGGCAACCCUGACCGAGCAACGCCGCGUGAGUGAAGAAGGUUUUCGGAUCGUAAAGCUCUGUUGUAAGUCAAGAACGGGUGUGAGAGUGGAAAGUUCACACUGUGACGGUAGCUUACCAGAAAGGGACGGCUAACUACGUGCCAGCAGCCGCGGUAAUACGUAGGUCCCGAGCGUUGUCCGGAUUUAUUGGGCGUAAAGCGAGCGCAGGCGGUUUGAUAAGUCUGAAGUUAAAGGCUGUGGCUCAACCAUAGUUCGCUUUGGAAACUGUCAAACUUGAGUGCAGAAGGGGAGAGUGGAAUUCCAUGUGUAGCGGUGAAAUGCGUAGAUAUAUGGAGGAACACCGGUGGCGAAAGCGGCUCUCUGGUCUGUAACUGACGCUGAGACUCGAAAGCGUGGGGAGCGAACAGGAUUAGAUACCCUGGUAGUCCACGCCGUAAACGAUGAGUGCUAGGUGUUGGAUCCUUUCCGGGAUUCAGUGCCGCAGCUAACGCAUUAAGCACUCCGCCUGGGGAGUACGACCGCAAGGUUGAAACUCAAAGGAAUUGACGGGGGCCCGCACAAGCGGUGGAGCAUGUGGUUUAAUUCGAAGCAACGCGAAGAACCUUACCAGGUCUUGACAUCCCGAUGCUAUUUCUAGAGAUAGAAAGUUACUUCGGUACAUCGGUGACAGGUGGUGCAUGGUUGUCGUCAGCUCGUGUCGUGAGAUGUUGGGUUAAGUCCCGCAACGAGCACAACCCCUAUUGUUAGUUGCCAUCAUUCAGUUGGGCACUCUAGCGAGACUGCCGGUAAUAAACCGGAGGAAGGUGGGGAUGACGUCAAAUCAUCAUGCCCCUUAUGACCUGGGCUACACACGUGCUACAAUGGUUGGUACAACGAGUUGCGAGUCGGUGACGGCGAGCUAAUCUCUUAAAGCCAAUCUCAGUUCGGAUUGUAGGCUGCAACUCGCCUACAUGAAGUCGGAAUCGCUAGUAAUCGCGGAUCAGCACGCCGCGGUGAAUACGUUCCCGGGCCUUGUACACACCGCCCGUCACACCACGAGAGUUUGUAACACCCGAAGUCGGUGAGGUAACCUUUUGGAGCCAGCCGCCUAAGGUGGGACAGAUGAUUGGGGCGAAGUCGUAACAAGUA
rnacentral:rRNA from 1 species